rnacentral:rRNA from 1 species
UACAGAGGGGGCAAGCGUUGUUCGGAAUUACUGGGCGUAAAGGGCGCGUAGGCGGCCUUCUAAGUCGAACGUGAAAUCCCCGGGCUCAACCCGGGAACUGCGUCCGAUACUGGAGGGCUUGAAUCCGGGAGAGGGAUGCGGAAUUCCAGGUGUAGCGGUGAAAUGCGUAGAUAUCUGGAGGAACACCGGUGGCGAAGGCGGCAUCCUGGACCGGCAUUGACGCUGAGGCGCGAAAGCUAGGGGAGCAAACGGG